rnacentral:rRNA from 1 species
CCUACGGGUGGCAGCAGUGGGGAAUAUUGGGCAAUGGGCGCAAGCCUGACCCAGCAACGCCGCGUGAAGGAAGAAGGCUUUCGGGUUGUAAACUUCUUUUCUCAGGGACAAAGCCCGUGACGGUACCUGAGGACUACGCCACGGCUAACUACGUGCCAGCAGCCGCGGUAAUACGUAGGUGGCAAGCGUUAUCCGGAUUUAUUGGGUUUAAAGGGUUCGCAGGCGGAAGAUCAAGUCAGCGGUAAAAUUGAGAGGCUCAACCUCUUCGAGCCGUUGAAACUGGUUUUCUGGAGUGAGCGAGAAGUAGGCGGAAUGCGUGGUGUAGCGGUGAAAUGCAUAGAUAUCACGCAGAACUCCGAUUGCGAAGGCAGCAUACCGGCGCUCAACUGACGCUCAUGCACGAAAGUGUGGGUAUCGAACAGGAUUAGAUACCCCAGUAGUC